rnacentral:tRNA from 1 species
GCAGAGGUAGCUCAACGGUAGAGCGGCGGCGCCAACGGUGUGCCGCGAGUCGGGGGUUCAAUUCCCAUCUUCCGCA